rnacentral:tRNA from 1 species
AUUUCUUAAUUAUAUUUUUAUAUAGUUUAAUUCAAAACAUUACAUUUUCAUUGUAAAAUUAAAUAUUAUUUUUUAUAA